rnacentral:rRNA from 1 species
CCUUCGGGGUACACGAGCGGCGAACGGGUGAGUAACACGUGGGUGAUCUGCCUCGCACUCUGGGAUAAGCCUGGGAAACUGGGUCUAAUACCGGAUAUGACCUUACAUCGCAUGGUGUUUGGUGGAAAGAUUUAUCGGUGCGAGAUGGGCCCGCGGCCUAUCAGCUUGUUGGUGGGGUAAUGGCCUACCAAGGCGACGACGGGUAGCCGGCCUGAGAGGGCGACCGGCCACACUGGGACUGAGACACGGCCCAGACUCCUACGGGAGGCAGCAGUGGGGAAUAUUGCACAAUGGGCGAAAGCCUGAUGCAGCGACGCCGCGUGAGGGAUGACGGCCUUCGGGUUGUAAACCUCUUUCGACAGGGACGAAGCGCAAGUGACGGUACCUGUAGAAGAAGCACCGGCCAACUACGUG